GGUGAGAUGGCCGAGAGGUUAAAGGCGCUCCCCUGCUAAGGGAGUAUGUAAAAAAUUUUGCAUCGAGGGUUCGAAUCCCUCUCUCACCG
rnacentral:tRNA from 1 species